AUUGAACGCUGGCGGCAUGCCUUACACAUGCAAGUCGAACGGCAGCACGGGUGCUUGCACCUGGUGGCGAGUGGCGAACGGGUGAGUAAUACAUCGGAACAUGUCCUGUAGUGGGGGAUAGCCCGGCGAAAGCCGGAUUAAUACCGCAUACGAUCCACGGAUGAAAGCGGGGGACCUUCGGGCCUCGCGCUAUAGGGUUGGCCGAUGGCUGAUUAGCUAGUUGGUGGGGUAAAGGCCUACCAAGGCGACGAUCAGUAGCUGGUCUGAGAGGACGACCAGCCACACUGGGACUGAGACACGGCCAAGACUCCUGAGGGAGGCAGCAGUGGGGAAUUUUGGACAAUGGGCGAAAGCCUGAUCCAGCAAUGCCGCGUGUGUGAAGAAGGCCUUCGGGUUGUAAAGCACGUUUGUCCGGAAAGAAAUCCUUGGCUCUAAUACAGUCGGGGGAUGACGGUACCGGAAGAAUAAGCACCGGCUAACUACGUG
rnacentral:rRNA from 1 species